GGCGCUAUAGCCAAGUGGUUACGGCGACAGAUUUGAAUCGAGAUGGAUUGUUUAACUUCGAAGAAACCUUUCAUCUUUGUGAUACAAUAUCUGUUCCUCUUUGAGGGCGCAGGUUCAAAUCCUGCUGGCGUCG